rnacentral:misc_RNA from 1 species
GGCGGAGGAGGAGGGGGCGG